AUGAUUUUAGAGGGACCUAAGACC
rnacentral:miRNA from 1 species